UCCUAACUUCUCUGAACGCCGCGAACCCCCUUCCCGACACUUCGAAUGCAGGUCCCAAGGGCUGAUAAUAUGGUCAGGGAUUGUCCUGUAUAGGGGUCCCCUUACAGGCACUGAGAGGGACAUGGGGACAUGAACGCUCCUGGUGUGAGCGCCAAUGAUGCUGACCUGCUAUGAGCUCUCAAAUUGAAGAACAAGUCUUGAUCCUCUUGGCCCAGAAGCAGGGGGCUGAUCACAAUGACCCCAGUUCCUCUGCUGCUGUAUUACAUCCCAGCUGGAUGGAGCACUUCGCUUCCAGGGGAAGGUGGCUGAGGCAGAAGCAGGGUUUGAGAAACUACUGAUGCCAGCUGGCUCUUGUCCUCAGAAGCACUCUGAAAUUAGCUUACCUGCUUGUUUAACCAAAGAGAAUGUAAGUUCCUAGAGCAGGGGUUGACAAAUUUUUUUCUGAGGAGCCAGCUAGUAAACAUUUUAGGCUUUCUCAGCCAUAUGGUCUCUGUUGCAACUACUCGACUCUGCUGUUGUAGUGUGAAAGCAGCCCUAGACCAUACGUAAACGGAGCGUGGCUGUGCUCCAAUAAAACUU